AGACUGAGGCCCAGGUUCCUUAGC
rnacentral:piRNA from 1 species